GACGAACGCUGGCGGCGUGCUUAACACAUGCAAGUCGAACGGAAAGACCCUGCUUUUGUGGGGUGCUCGAGUGGCGAACGGGUGAGUAACACGUGAGUAACCUGCCCUUGACUUUGGGAUAACUUCAGGAAACUGGGGCUAAUACCGGAUAGGAGCUCCUGCUGCAUGGUGGGGGUUGGAAAGUUUCGGCGGUUGGGGAUGGACUCGCGGCUUAUCAGCUUGUUGGUGGGGUAGUGUCUUACCAAGGCUUUGACGGGUAGCCGGCCUGAGAGGGUGACCGGCCACAUUGGGACUGAGAUACGGCCCAGACUCCUACGGGAGGCAGCAGUGGGGAAUAUUGCACAAUGGGCGGAAGCCUGAUGCAGCAACGCCGCGUGCGGGAUGACGGCCUUCGGGUUGUAAACCGCUUUCGCCUGUGACGAAGCGUGAGUGACGGUAAUGGGUAAAGAAGCACCGGCUAACUACGUG
rnacentral:rRNA from 1 species